rnacentral:rRNA from 1 species
UACAGAGACCGCGAGCGUUAUUCGGAUUCACUGGGCGUAAAGGGUGCGCAGGCGGCCAAGUGUGUGAGGUGUGAAAGCCCGGGGCUUAACCCCGGAAUUGCACCUCAAACUACAUGGCUAGAGCAUUGGAGAGGGUAGCAGAAUUCACGGUGUAGCAGUGAAAUGCGUAGAUAUCGUGAGGAAUACCAGAGGCGAAGGCGGCUACCUGGACAAUUGCUGACGCUCAGGCACGAAAGCGUGGGGAGCAAAAGGG